rnacentral:tRNA from 1 species
CGCGGGGUGGAGCAGUUUGGCAGCUCGUCGGGCUCAUAACCCGAAGGUCGUAGGUUCAAAUCCUACCCCCGCAACCA